AAGUUGAUGAUGAAAAUAAGCAGACAAAAGACGGGACCCUGAAUAUAAACACAUACAGGAAACCAGCACACACACACCAAUAUUUAUUAUGGACAUCAGAACACUGUACUAUACAGAAAAUGUCAGUGAACAGUAAGUAAGUAAGUAAAAGUUUAUUUAUAGAGCGCCUUUCUCAGAUAUAAAUCACAAAGCGCUGUACAACAUGAUAAAGAUCAGGGCAAAUACCUCUAACCAAUAAAAACAUCAGAAAAACAACAGCAGUGAUAAACGUAGAAAAUAAAAUCAUGAGUAUAAACAAAGUGAAGGUGUGAACCCGAACAAAGCCAUCUUUUAGAACAUUUAGGGAGGGAACACCUGGAUGAAAAGGUGAGUUUUUAGAUGAUUUUUAAAGACCUCUACAGUGUUAGAGAGACGGAGAUUUGAAGGUAGACUGGUCCAAAGUCUGGGGGCAAUAGUCUGAAAGGCCCCGCCCCCUUUGGUUUUCAGUCUGGUUCGAGGAACAGCCAGGAGGUUUUCAGAUGUGGAUCUAAGGUUCCGAGAGGUGGUGUGUGGGGAUAAAAGCUCAGAUAGGUAGCUUGGAGCCUGGUUGUUGAGAGCUCUAUAGGUCAGGACUAAAACUUUAAACUGUAUUCUAUAUUCUACCGGGAGCCAGUGGAGGGACUGUAAACCUGGAGUGAUGUGAGCUCGUCGGCUGGAUUUGGUUAGGAGUCUGGCUGCUGCAUUUUGGAUGGCUUGAAGGCGUGAGAGGGAGGUUUUGCUGAGACCAGUAAAAAGAGCGUUACAGUAGUCUAAGCGUAGGGUUGCCAACCGUCCCUUGAAAAACGGAAUCGUCCCGUAUUUAGAAACACAAGUGCACGUCCCGUAUUGAACUCAAAAGGGACGCACUUUGUCCCGUAAUAUAGUAUGGAUCAAAAUUAGUCUGUAGUCUAUUACCGGAAUUAACGCUUUGUUUGAAAGCCAGCCCUUCGCCUGCUCUGUGACCAAUGAACUGGCCGCAUGCUUACACACGAAUAUGACGAUACAGAUUACCGCUUAUUUCAUUGGUCGAGGAACGGUCGCUUGGGGAGAAGAUACCGGAAGAAAACACGACAGCAAACAGCACGGCCAACCGGGAAACUAACGCCGACACUGCUGUACAAGUCUCGGACGACAGUACCCCUCCGAGAAAGAAGAAAAAAGGCUUCAAAAAUACAGGGAGGAAUGGGAAAAGGAAAAUUCCUAGCUGGAAAAACUGCGCGAUAACACCUAUAAAGCGCACUGCACCGUGUACCGGCGCAGUUUUUCCAAAGGGCAUGGUGGACUCACUGACCUCAAGCAACAUGCGUCUAGUAGUAGCCACAUGAAAAACAUAAAGGACGUGAAAUUACGGGGAACCCUCGAUCAGUUUGUCGUCCACAAGGCCACGGCAGAAGCAGAUAUGGUUAAACACCUCUAUGGAUGAGCUUUAUGACGAGUGUGUCACUGCAACCAGCCUUCUGGAGCCCCUCACCAAAGGACCUCAGGAGAAGGAAAAGUGGCAGUCCAAGGGAACAGCAGAGAAGUGUAUAGAAAUUCUUCAGGCAGCUGACCUCUCCAACAUCCAGCCUGUUGUAUCGUUUGUACUCAGCAUCCCAUCUUCCACUGGAUUGGCAGAGAGGAUUUUCUCUCUCAUGAAGAAUAAGUGGACUGAUGUGCGGAACAAAUGUUCUACUGAAAUAAUUAGAUGUGAGCUCAUUGUCACUCUAAAUUGUGACAUGUUUUGCUCAGAGUUUUACUCUGCAGUACUGAAAGACAGACAACUCCUAAAUGCAGCAAGAUCUCAAAAGAAAUACAAAUGGAGAAAAUAGUCUGUUUUCACAUAAUGUAGCAUUGAGCUUUUGAGUUCAUGAGUUUGGACUUUUUUUUUUUACUUCAACCGUAGGCUACAGUCAAGGCCUUUGAGGCACAAAUAUGUUUACAGCUUCUCCACAGACUUUCUGUUUGCACUUUUCUAAUUGCACUCAAUGUGCAGUUACAGCGUUGCUCUUUCUGUUGUUUUCUAUUAAUUUAUACAAUUUUAAGUUAAGCAGAACAGAGUUGUUUUAAAGAGAGUUAUUUAUAUUCUAAAAAGUAAAGCAUAACAGGCUACCGUUUAAGAAAGAGACCUACUUUUUUUUUUUGUCAUUUUGCACAAAAAGUUGAGCAUAACAGUUUUCUGUUUAAGAAAAAUACCUUUGUUACUUAUAAUAAUUUUGUAAUUUCACGCCAUAAAUAAAUGGCUAAAUGAUCA